AGGGAAUUUUGCGCAAUGGACGAAAGUCUGACGCAGCAACGCCGCGUGAGUGAUGACGGUCCUCGGACUGUAAAGCUCUGUCAGGAGGGAAGAACCUGUCUGGUAACCCCAGGCACUGACGGUACCUCCAGAG
rnacentral:rRNA from 1 species